rnacentral:rRNA from 1 species
GACGAACGCUGGCGGCGUGCUUAACACAUGCAAGUCGAGCGGUAAGGCCUCUUCGGGGGUACACGCUCGGCUAACGGGUGAGUAACUCGUGGGUGACUUGCCCUCAGCUCUGUGUUAAGCCUCGUCAACUGGGUCUAAUACCGGAUAUGACCUUUCCUCUCAUGCGUUUUGGUGGAUAGUUUUUUUGGGCGGGGAUGGGUGCGCUGCCUGUCAGCUGGUUGGUGGGUGGAUGGCUUACUAAGGCGACGACUGGUAGCCGGCCUGAGAGGGCGACCGGCCAGACUGGGAGUGAGACACGGCACAGACUCGUACGGGAGGCAGCAGUGGGGAAUAUUGCGCAAUGGGCGGAAGCCUGACGCAGCGACGCCGCGUGGGGGAUGACGGCGGUCGGGUUGUAAACCUCUUUCGACCCCGACGAAGUGGGACGGUAGGGGUAGAAGAAGCACCGGCCAACUACGUG